GGUCCGUCUCUCCUUCUCAUUGAGGUUGUACGAUCUCUUCUGUCGCUGCGUCGUUCGACUCAUCAAGCGGGAUUUAAUAUCACUUGCUUCUCAGUCUUCUCCACCCUCGACAUGCGUAGGCCAAAAAGGCGGAGAUGAGUCAUGGAUCCUCCUGGCUAUGGCUGCUGGUUGCAGACAGGG